rnacentral:rRNA from 1 species
UACGUAGGCAGCGAGCGUUGUUCGGAGUUACUGGGCGUAAAGGGUGUGUAGGCGGUUGUUUAAGUUUGGUGUGAAAUCUCCCGGCUCAACUGGGAGGGUGCGCCGAAUACUGAAUGACUUGGAGUGCGGGAGAGGAGAGUGGAAUUCCUGGUGUAGCGGUGAAAUGCGUAGAUAUCAGGAGGAACACCGGUGGUGUAGACGGCUCUCUGGACCGUAACUGACGCUGAGAAGCGAAAGCAUGGGGAGCGAACAGG